rnacentral:rRNA from 1 species
CAAUAGCGUAUAUUAAAGUUGUUGCAGUUAAAAAGCUCGUAGUUGGAUUUCUGGUGGGAGCACGGGUCGGCCUUCACGGGUUGUACUGUUGUUGCGUCCUGCCGUUUCGGAGGGAAUGGUCAUGUUAUUAGGUUAGCGUGAUCGGAAACUCUGUCGUUUACUGUGAAAAAUUAGAGUGUUCAAAGCAGGCUUAUGCCGUUGAAUACAUUAGCAUGGAAUAAUAAGAUAGGACCUUGGUACUAUUUUGUUGGUUUGCGUACCUAGGUAAUGAUUAAUAGGGACAGUUGGGGGUAUUCGUAUUCAAUUGUCAGAGGUGAAAUUCUUGGAUUUAUGGAAGACGAACUACUGCGAAAGCAUUUACCAAGGAUGUUUUCAUUAAUCAAGAACGAAAGUUAGGGGAUCGAAGACGAUUAGAUACCGU